UUUUUGUUCUUGGAAAAAAAAAACACAAUAUUUUCUUUAUCUUAGCCUAUAAACAAAGACUGACAUUUUUGGAAAUAUCACGUGUUUGGAUUGAGUGUGCUACAAUUCUUAGCAUCACUAAUUUUAUAAAAGCUUGUCAAUCCUGCAACAUCUAAAUCUUAACUUGCUAUUUACAGAAGCAUGGAUAAAACCAAAUUUGCUUCUGGGGUUAGCGCCAGUACUGAGCCCAGCGAUGAAUGGUCUCAACCAUUUGUGGGAACAAUGCACUAACACUCUCAUUAAUAAGAUCCUGGAAAAAGUGUAUGGCAGCCUCAUCAUCCAGAUCCAACCGAAACUUCUCUUGAAGCUUAAGAAUGCUCUUUUCAGGAUCAAAAGCUAUGUCCGGAAUAUUGGAACCCGCUAUCAGGUG
rnacentral:misc_RNA from 1 species